rnacentral:lncRNA from 1 species
UCUACCUGCUUCAAGUUGUUCCUGCCUUUCUGGACGAAACCAAUGUACUUUUUACAUAUAUUGAUUGAUGUCUCAUGUAUCCCUGAAAUGUAUAAAACCAAGCUGUGACCUGACCACCUUGGGCACAUGUCUUCAGGACUUCUUGAGGCUGUGUCAUGGGUGUGCAUCCUGAAUACAAAUUAGUAAUAGAAUUUUGAAUGUAAUGUGUUAAUAUGGAAGUUUUUAGAUUGUAUAGUUUUGAAAAAACACUUUCAGAAACUUAAUAUAAAAUGCUUACAAAGAUAUCUACAUAUAUAUAAUCAAGACUGUUAAGUAUACUAUUACUUGGAAUAGAAAAUAAGGUAAAGUAAUUAAUUUUUCUUUUUCAGUAGAGUACUAGUGAAAUAAAUUUUGAAGCAUCCAUACAAUGAAAUGCCAGGCCAAUGUUAAAAAAAUAUUAAAAUUCUGUUGUAAAGUAGUGUGAGAUAU